rnacentral:rRNA from 1 species
UCGGGAAGUGCCCGAAGUCGGUGACCUAACUGCAAAGGAGGAGCCGCCGAAGGCAGGCCCGGUAACUGGGGUGAAGUCGUAACAAGGUACC